rnacentral:misc_RNA from 1 species
CUGAGUACCGGGUCUCUCAGGCCCUUACUCCCACCCUUUGUGUACCUUACCAAAAAUCUUCAGUUGCCUUGGUGGGAACCCCUCCGCCCCCUUGGAUUUGGUGUUUUUUACCAGUCCUUGGGCAAAAGAGGGCCCACCAUUGGAACUACCUAAAACUCUUUAUCAAUUGGGAUUGUCUGAGAACAAAAACAAAUAAAUUA